AUUGAACGCUGGCGGCAUGCUUUACACAUGCAAGUCGAACGGCAGCGCGGGCUUCGGCCUGGCGGCGAGUGGCGAACGAGUGAGUAAUACAUCGGAACGUGCCCAGUAGUGGGGGAUAGCUCGGCGAAAGCCGGAUUAAUACCGCAUACGACCUGAGGGUGAAAGCGGGGGAUCUUCGGACCUCGCGCUAUUGGAGCGGCCGAUGGCAGAUUAGCUAGUUGGUGGGGUAAAGGCCUACCAAGGCGACGAUCUGUAGCUGGUCUGAGAGGACGACCAGCCACACUGGGACUGAGACACGGCCCAGACUCCUACGGGAGGCAGCAGUGGGGAAUUUUGGACAAUGGGCGAAAGCCUGAUCCAGCAAUGCCGCGUGUGUGAUGAAGGCCUUCGGGUUGUAAAGCACUUUUGGCGGGAACGAAAAGGACUGUGCCAAUACCACGGUUCGAUGACGGUACCCGCAGAAUAGGCACCGGCUAACUACGUG
rnacentral:rRNA from 1 species